rnacentral:rRNA from 1 species
UACGUAGGGGGCAAGCGUUGUCCGGAAUCAUUGGGCGUAAAGAGCGCGUAGGCGGCCCAGUCAGUCCGCUCUGAAAGUCAGGGGCUCAACCCCUGAAUGCGGGUGGAUACUGCUGGGCUAGAGUCCGGAAGAGGCGAGUGGAAUUCCUGGUGUAGCGGUGAAAUGCGCAGAUAUCAGGAGGAACACCGAUGGCGAAGGCAGCUCGCUGGGACGGUACUGACGCUGAGACGCGAAAGCGUGGGGAGCGAACAGG